ACUACCUCAAGAAGUCUGAUAAGAAGCUGAGCUGAGACUAGAUGGUGAAAUUCGAACGCAAGCUAUGUUCCAAGUUUAUGGUUCCAGCAGCUCUGCAGUGCCAUGAGGAGCCUUGUGAAAUUGCCUUUAAAGAAAAGGCAAACCAUUUACCAGGAAGAAAGUUGAACAUUGGGUUCACAACCAGGGCUAA